UAUUCGCCGGAGAUGGCAAGUAAAAUAGUGGUCCUGUGCGCUAUACUCCACAAUAUCGCGGUAAGGAGUAGCGUAGAGCUUCCUCAGACAGAGGAAUUGCCUGAUGAGGAGCCAGGGGUUGUCCGACACUUCGGUGGGGGGAGUGUUACAAGGAGGGGGAGCCAAGUCAGGGCAAGCAUUGUUGCUGAAUUUUUCAGGUAUAGUGUUUUUUUUUACUCUAUUGUUACCAAAAUAAAAGCACAGUAUGCAUCAUUUUGUAUUUAAAUGUAGAAAUUGUGUUUGCUAUUGUAAGGUCAUUGUGUAAUGCUUUUUGUGUGUUUGAAUCUGUUUUUUUUUUUAACUUCAAAAAACAAUAACACGUUAAGCUGACAAUUUAAUUUUGUGUCAAACAAUACUGUGAUGUUGCUAAAUAGUGUCCUUAUUUUUUUACUAUUCUAACAUCAUGAUUAUUUAAACAAAAACACAAACAAAUGAAACUGAAUGUUGCCCACUUUGUGAAUGUCCAGCUGAAAGACCACACAAACUGAGGACGACCACAACGGCAAGCACCACAUGAUGCACCAGCUCAGCACCCUUCCCCUUCUCACUCCCCCUCCACUUCCCAGUCCCCCUCCCCUUCUCACUCCCCCUCCCCUUCUCACUCCCCCUCCCCUUCUCACUCCCCCUCAGCUUCCCAAUCCCCCUCAGCUUCCCAAUCACCCUCAGCUUCACAAUCCACCUCAGCUUCCCAGUCACCCUCAGCUUCCCAGGCCCCCUCAGCUUCCCAGGCCCCCUCAGCUUCCCAGGCCCACUCCACUUUCCACUCCCCUUCUCAGCCAACCUCUCCUUCUCUUUCUGUGACCCCUUCUCCUCCUUCCCAUACCCCUUCUCCUUCUACUUCCAACUCACCUUCUCAGCCCCCCUCACCCUCUAUUGGCCUAACAUUUUCACCGCCCCCCUCGCCCUCUCAAUCAGACCCACCCUCUGAAAUUACAUCCCCAAUCCAACCUCCUUCCCCCAUCCAGCCUCCUUCCCCCAUCCAGCCUCCUUCCCCCAUCCAGCCUCCUUCCCCAAUCCCUCCUCCUUCCCCCAUCCAGCCGCCUUCCCCCAUCCAGCCGCCAUCCCCACCCAGUGAAUGGGCAGAGGAAGCCCCUGAAGACAGUUCAGGGAGUCUUCAUGUUGCCGAGGAAAAUGUUGCAGUUGGAGAUCCUACAAGUUUUGGAGGCAUCCUUUACACCAUGCGCCAACACCUGCAAGGAUUAAUGCAUUGUGUUGAAAAUUUGCAAAAAUUUGCAUGAUUUUGUUUAUUUUAAGGAAAAAAAAAUGAUUUAUUUUAAAAAAUAAAAUAAAAAAAGUUGAUUAAAGUUAA